UACGGAGGAUCCAAGCGUUAUCCGGAUUUAUUGGGUUUAAAGGGUGCGUAGGUGGCUUUUUAAGUCAGGGGUGAAAGACGGUAGCUUAACUAUCGCAGUGCCUUUGAUACUGAAGAGCUUGAAUGAACUAGAGGUAGGCGGAAUGUGACAAGUAGCGGUGAAAUGCAUAGAUAUGUCACAGAACACCGAUUGCGAAGGCAGCUUACUAUGGUUUUAUUGACACUGAGGCACGAAAGCGUGGGGAUCAAACAGG
rnacentral:rRNA from 1 species